rnacentral:rRNA from 1 species
GGGCCCGCACAAGCGGUGGAGUAUGUGGUUUAAUUCGAUGCAACGCGAAGAACCUUACCAGGGUUUGACAUCCUGCGAAUCUUGUAGAGAUACGAGAGUGCCUUCGGGAAUUGUGAUACAGGUGCUGCAUGGCUGUCGUCAGCUCGUGUCGUGAGAUGUUGGGUUAAGUCCCGCAACGAGCGCAACCCUUGUCCUUAGUUACCAGCACUUCGGGUGGGAACUCUAAGGAUACUGCCAGUGACAAACUGGAGGAAGGCGGGGACGACGUCAAGUCAUCAUGGCCCUUACGACCAGGGCUACACACGUGCUACAAUGGUAGGUACAGAGGGCAGCUACACAGCGAUGUGAUGCGAAUCUCAAAAAGCCUAUCGUAGUCCAGAUUGGAGUCUGCAACUCGACUCCAUGAAGUAGGAAUCGCUAGUAAUCG